rnacentral:rRNA from 1 species
GAUGAACGCUGGCGGCGUGCCUAAUACAUGCAAGUCGAACGCUGAAGGAGGAGCUUGCUCUUCUGGAUGAGUUCCGCACGGGUGAGUAACGCGUAGGUAAACUGCCUGGUAGCGGGGGGUAACUCUUGGAAACGAUAGCUAAUACCGCAUGACAUCUGUUAUUGCACGAUAACUGAUUAAAAGGGGCAACUUCUCCACUACCAAAUGGACCUGCCUUGUAUUAGCUAGUUGGUGAGGUAACGGCUCCCCAAGGAGACGAUAGUUAGCCGGCCAGCGAGGGGGAUCGGCCACACUGGGACUGGGACACGGCCCAGACUCCUACGGGAGGCAGCAGUAGGGAAUUUUCGGCAAUGGACGGAAGUCUGACCGAGCAACGCCGCGGGAGUGAAGAAGGUUUUCGGAUCGGAAAGCUCUGUUGUAAGAGAAGAACGAGUGUGAGAGUGGAAAGUUCACACUGUGACGGUAUCUUACCAGAAAGGGACGGCUAACUACGUG